AGCGAACGCUGGCGGCAGGCUUAACACAUGCAAGUCGAGCGGGCGUAGCAAUACGUCAGCGGCAGACGGGUGAGUAACGCGUGGGAACGUACCUUUUGGUUCGGAACAACACAGGGAAACUUGUGCUAAUACCGGAUAAGCCCUUACGGGGAAAGAUUUAUCGCCGAAAGAUCGGCCCGCGUCUGAUUAGCUAGUUGGUGUGGUAACGGCGCACCAAGGCGACGAUCAGUAGCGGUCUGAGAGGAUGAUCAGCCACAUUGGGACUGAGACACGGCCCAAACUCCUACGGGAGGCAGCAGUGGGGAAUAUUGGACAAUGGGCGCAAGCCUGAUCCAGCCAUGCCGCGUGAGUGAUGAAGGCCCUAGGGUUGUAAAGCUCUUUUGUGCGGGAAGAUAAUGAC
rnacentral:rRNA from 1 species